CGGGGGUACUCGAGUGGCGAACGGGUGAGUAACACGUGGGCAAUCUGCCCUGCACUUCGGGCAUAAGCCUGGGAAACUGGGAANUCUAAUACCGGAUAGGACCUCUAAGCGCAUGUCUUGUGGUGGAAAGCUUUUGCGGUGUGGGAUGGGCCCGCGGCCUAUCAGCUUGUUGGUGGGGUGAUGGCCUACCAAGGCGACGACGGGUAGCCGGCCUGAGAGGGUGUCCGGCCACACUGGGACUGAGAUACGGCCCAGACUCCUACGGGAGGCAGCAGUGGGGAAUAUUGCACAAUGGGCGCAAGCCUGAUGCAGCGACGCCGCGUGGGGGGAUGACGGCCUUCGGGUUGUAAACCUCUUUCACCAUCGACGAAGGUUCGGGUUUUCUCGGAUUGACGGUAGGUGGAGAAGAAGCACCGGCCAACUACGUGCCAGCAGCCGCGGUAAUACGUAGGGUGCGAGCGUUGUCCGGAAUUACUGGGCGUAAAGAGCUCGUAGGUGGUUUGUCGCGUUGUUCGUGAAAUCUCACGGCUUAACUGUGAGCGUGCGGGCGAUACGGGCAGACUAGAGUACUGCAGGGGAGACUGGAAUUCCUGGUGUAGCGGUGGAAUGCGCAGAUAUCAGGAGGAACACCGGUGGCGAAGGCGGGUCUCUGGGCAGUAACUGACGCUGAGGAGCGAAAGCGUGGGGAGCGAACAGGAUUAGAUACCCUGGUAGUCCACGCCGUAAACGGUGGGUACUAGGUGUGGGUUUCCUUCCUUGGGAUCCGUGCCGUAGCUAACGCAUUAAGUACCCCGCCUGGGGAGUACGGCCGCAAGGCUAAAACUCAAAGGAAUUGACGGGGGCCCGCACAAGCGGCGGAGCAUGUGGAUUAAUUCGAUGCAACGCGAAGAACCUUACCUGGGUUUGACAUGCACAGGACGCGUCUAGAGAUAGGCGUUCCCUUGUGGCCUGUGUGCAGGUGGUGCAUGGCUGUCGUCAGCUCGUGUCGUGAGAUGUUGGGUUAAGUCCCGCAACGAGCGCAACCCUUGUCUCAUGUUGCCAGCGGGUAAUGCCGGGGACUCGUGAGAGACUGCCGGGGUCAACUCGGAGGAAGGUGGGGAUGACGUCAAGUCAUCAUGCCCCUUAUGUCCAGGGCUUCACACAUGCUACAAUGGCCGGUACAAAGGGCUGCGAUGCCGCAAGGUUAAGCGAAUCCUUUUAAAGCCGGUCUCAGUUCGGAUUGGGGUCUGCAACUCGACCCCAUGAAGUCGGAGUCGCUAGUAAUCGCAGAUCAGCAACGCUGCGGUGAAUACGUUCCCGGGCCUUGUACACACCGCCCGUCACGUCAUGAAAGUCGGUACCCACACCCGAAGCCAG
rnacentral:rRNA from 1 species